rnacentral:sRNA from 1 species
CUUUAGCCCCGAUUGAAGUGGAAAUCCUUUUUAUUUUUUCUUUAAAAAUAAAAAGAUUGUAACGGAAAGCGGGAAAUAGC